AAAUUUUACUCCGCGCAUCACACGGAUGCCUCGACUCUGGAGUCCGAUGAAGGACGUGGCCAGCUACGAUAAGCCUCGGUGAGCCGCUAGGCAGGCACUAUUAGCCGGGGAUUUCCGAAUGGGGCAACCCAUGGGGGUUAUACCCCCGUAUCCGGCUUCGGCCGGAAGGUCACUCUGCGAACUGAAACAUCUCAGUAGCAGGGGAAGAGAAAUCAACACGAGAUUCCCUGAGUAGUGGCGAGCGAAAGGGGAACAGCCUAAACCAUGAUCGCAAGAUUGUGGGGUUGCAGGACCUCAAUAUCCGACUCCCUUCUCAUAGGCGAACGACCCUGGAACGGGCGGCCAAAGAGGGUGAGAGCCCCGUAGACGAAAUGGGGAGGGGCGGUAGGGGAAUCCUAAGUAGGGUCGGACACGUGUAAUCCGGCCUGAAUCCGGGUGGACCACCAUCCAAGGCUAAAGAGCUCUAGAGAUCGAUAGCGAAUAGUACCGUGAGGGAAAGGUGAAAAGCACCCCGAAAGGGGGAUGAAAUAGUCUCUGAAAUGUGAUGCGUACAAAGAAGUCGGAGCCCCGCGUAAGCGGGGUGACGGCGUGCCUUUUGCAUAAUGAGCCAACGAGUUUGUUGUCAGCGGCAUGGCGAAGGGAGUACAUACCCGAAGCCGCAGCGAAAGCGAGUCCGAAUAGGGCGUUUUAGUCGCUGGCACAAGACCCGAAACCGGGUGAGCUAUCCAUGGGCAGGGUGAAGCCCCGCGAAAGCGGGGUGGAGGCCCGAACCGGUUGGUGUCGCAAGACCAUCGGAUGACCUGUGGAUAGGAGUGAAAAGCUCAUCGAACCCGGAGAUAGCUGGUUCUCCUCGAAAUGCCUUUAGGGGCAGCCUCGUCGUAACCUAUGGGGGGUAGAGAUACUGUUUGGAUGCGGGGGUCUUUCAGGCCUACCAAAUCCAGAUAAACUCCGAAUACCCAUAGUUUUAACCACGACGGGAGUGAGACGGUGACAGCGAACUGCCAUCGUCACAAGGGAAAUAGCCCAGACCAUUCGCUAAGGUCCCCAAAUGUCGUUCAGUGGAAAAGGAGGUGCAGGUGCGUUGACAACCAGGAGGUUGGCUUAGAAGCAGCCAUCCUUUAAAGAAAGCGUAACAGCUCACUGGUCGAUGCCCCUGUGCGCCGAAAAUGUAUCGGGGCGAAACGACAUACCGAAGCGGUGGGUGCGACGAAGCGCGCAAGCGCUUUGCCGCGCGGUAGAGGAGCGUUCCGUCCAGCAGUGAAGCUCCGUUGUGAAGCGGAGUGGAGCGGACGGAAGUGAGAAUGUUGGCAUGAGUAACUACUUGGCAGGUGAGAAUCCUGCCCGCCGAAUCCCCAAGGUUUCCCACGCAACGGUCAUCGGCGUGGGGUUAGUCGGUCCUAAGGCAAGGCCAAACGGCGUAGCCGAUGGACAGCAGGUCAAUAUUCCUGCACUUCAUGGAGAUCGCCAAGGGGUAGUUGUUGAGAGCCCAUCAGGCCUCUGCUCUACACCAUUCUGGAGUUGAAGAGAAUUAUGAAUCUGGUGUCAUUAUUACUUCUUAAUUCUUCUCCGAAUCUAGAAUGGUGUGGAGUACGUCAGGUAGGAAGGAUGCUUCUACUCUAGGAGCGGCAUGACGGAGCGGGACGAUCAGAGCGUGUGUAUGGAAUGCACGUGGAAUGCGUAAGACGUUGAUGUUGGGAGGCAAAUCCCCCAAGAGAGUCGAGCGCACAUCCCAAAUGCCCCGCGCAAGCGGGGUGAGUCUGAACCGUUCUGCUUCCAAGAAAAUCGUCGCGUCCGAGAGCUUCAUGAAACCGUACCGCAAACCAACACUGGUGGGGUGGUCGAGAAGACUAAGGCGAACGGGUCAUCUCGCGUCAAGGAACUCGGCAAAAAAGCGUCCGUAACUUCGGGAUAAGGACUGCCUCGCACGCGCAAGCGCAGCGGGGUCGCAGCGAAAGAGCUCAGGCGACUGUUUACCAAAAACACAGGUCCCUGCGAAGCCGUAAGGCAAUGUAUAGGGGCUGAUGCCUGGCCAGUGUCAGAAGGUUACGGAAGGGGGUUCACGCUCCCGACUUAAGCCCUGAUGAACGCCGGCGAUAACUAUAAUCGUCCUAUGGUAGCGAAAUUCCUUGUCG
rnacentral:rRNA from 1 species